AAGAGGCGUGAUGAUAAUCUACCCAUAUAGAUAUAUUUUCUGUAUUUGAAUGAUGAAUACUUAUCAUGCACUACCAUCUGAUCUCUU